GACGAACGCUGGCGGCGUGCCUAAUACAUGCAAGUAGAACGCUGAAGGAGGAGCUUGCUUCUCUGGAUGAGUUGCGAACGGGUGAGUAACGCGUAGGUAACCUGCCUGGUAGCGGGGGAUAACUAUUGGAAACGAUAGCUAAUACCGCAUAAGAGUAGAUGUUGCAUGACAUUUGCUUAAAAGGUGCAAAUGCAUCACUACCAGAUGGACCUGCGUUGUAUUAGCUAGUUGGUGAGGUAACGGCUCACCAAGGCAACGAUACAUAGCCGACCUGAGAGGGUGAUCGGCCACACUGGGACUGAGACACGGCCCAGACUUCUACGGGAGGCAGCAGUAGGGAAUCUUCGGCAAUGGACGGAAGUCUGACCGAGCAACGCCGCGUGAGUGAAGAAGGUUUUCGGAUCGUAAAGCUCUGUUGUAAGAGAAGAACGAGUGUGAGAGUGGAAAGUUCACACUGUGACGUAUCU
rnacentral:rRNA from 1 species